CGCGGGAUGGAGCAGUCUGGUAGCUCGUCGGGCUCAUANCCCGGAGGUCGCAGGUUCAAAUCCUGCUCCCGCCACUA
rnacentral:tRNA from 1 species